rnacentral:rRNA from 1 species
AUGAACGCUGGCGGCGUGCCUAAUACAUGCAAGUCGAGCGAACAGACGAGGAGCUUGCUCCUCUGACGUUAGCGGCGGACGGGUGAGUAACACGUGGAUAACCUACCUAUAAGACUGGGAUAACUUCGGGAAACCGGAGCUAAUACCGGAUAAUAUAUUGAACCGCAUGGUUCAAUAGUGAAAGACGGUUUUGCUGUCACUUAUAGAUGGAUCCGCGCCGCAUUAGCUAGCUGGUAAGGUAACGGCUUACCAAGGCGACGAUGCGUAGCCGACCUGAGAGGGUGAUCGGCCACACUGGAACUGAGACACGGUCCAGACUCCUACGGGAGGCAGCAGUAGGGAAUCUUCCGCAAUGGGCGAAAGCCUGACGGAGCAACGCCGCGUGAGUGAUGAAGGUCUUCGGAUCGUAAAACUCUGUUAUUAGGGAAGAACAAAUGUGUAAGUAACUAUGCACGUCUUGACGGUACCUAAUCAGAAAGCCACGGCUAACUACGUG